rnacentral:lncRNA from 1 species
GAGAAGUCUGCAUUUUGCUCAGAAAUAACUGAAGCAAUGGGUCUCAAAUUGUGGUCCCUGGACCAGGAGCAUCAAAAUCACCUGGAACUUGUUAGAAAAGCAAGUUCAGGGGCUCCAUCCAUAUGUGCUGGAUCAGAAUGACUGAGGAUGGAGUCCAGCAAUCUGUGCUUUAACGAAAGGCCUCUAGGUGAGGUCCUGGCAUAAAGAACCCUAAGAGCAGGGCUGAUCCCUGAGAGCAAGUAUUUAUUGAACAUCUACUAUUACCUGGCCAUGGGUUAAGCUUAUGUUCACUUUUUCAUCGCGCAAUAAAUGGCUGUAGAAAGAAAGAACUAGAAAAGGGAGGAAAAGAGGAGAGAUUCUAUGUCCCUACGCGCUAAAGAUUUUGAAGCUUUCUUACCCUGCCUUUACGAGUUAAUAUGAGCCAGUGAACACUGUGUUUGCUCAGCCCAUCCAUCCACACCAGAGUCAUAAAAUACAUAUGGCUGAAGAACUGGAAGAUUCCUUAGAAACGAUCUACUCUAGGCCCUACAGAAAAGGAUAGAGAGAUCAAAAAAAAAAAAAAAAAUUCUGGAAAAUGUUUUGGAAGAAAGAAAUGAAAAGAUGACUAUGUCGGACAUAUGUGGACCUACUUUAGAAAUGAGAGCCCAGAAACUGAAGUUCUCCCUUUGCAAAUCAGCCACUGCAAAUUGAAGGAUAUAAUCAAGACUAAUAGAGCAAACAAUCAAAUGCCAAGUA